UGCGUUCGGUUGUUAUUUUUAGUCGCAAUCGGUUGGGCAAGCUCGGCCUCCGUACCUGUACCAAGCCUUAAACUCGUAACGCCUGCGCGUAUUUCUUAUGCAUUUUAAAACGGUUGAAAAUCAUGCGAAAUACGUAGUUGAAACGUUUACAAAACAAAAACACACAAUUGUUAAAUAAUAGAUACAAAAUAGAUGUGUUGCAAGUGUAAAGUGUGCACAGGUGUUUAAGUGCUCAAUUCCAAUUGGAUUAACGCUAAGGAACUUAAAGUGCCUUCGAUAAUAACUCAAUCAGCUCAGCUCACGUAUCGGAAACUGUAGUUCGUGUAAUUCGGCAGAAGUAGCCGAAAAGUUGUCGUGCAAACAAAUACUCGAAACGCUAUCUAAGUCCAGCAGAAAAAGAAAUAAAACCAAAAACAAGCCGUCGAGAAGCUGAAAGCCGACAAACAGUUGGCUCGUUUAUCGUGUUGGCAUUUAAUUUAGUUGGUUACGUGGCCGGAGCUUCGUGUGGCCGCCGAAAAGAAAGUCACGACAUUAUCCAAAGCGGUUCAAAACAAGAUUUCCAAGAUUCUGCGCCGAAAGUCAAAGUUACAAGUUUACAUUUUGGCCCGGUUCAACGUCUUUGAGCGCCAGCGUGUGUGUGCCAGUGUGUGUGUGCCAGUGUGUGUGUGUGUGUACAUGUUUGUGCCACUUUAGAAAGUGAAAAUCGAGUGCAGUCCCAUUCCGUCAGACCUGCCUCUGGGCGCUGCAGCUGAAAGUGAAUUUGCCGCUUCAAUCUUCAAUUCCCAGUAGCUGCAGACAGACAGCCAGACUUCGGGUUGCCUCUGCCCAUUCAUCGAUAGAGCCGUAGUCGUAUUUGAAUCCACGUCCGAAAAGCCCAACAAUGGAGGCCGAAGAAAUUACAAAGCUCGUUGAUGGCGUUUAUAGGAAUAUACUCGAUAGAUUUAAUCCGGGUGCCAGGCAGCUAAUUGCGGCGGGCAAAAGUUACCUGAAGGCGUUGCAUGGUGCCGCAACUGCCUCGCGUCUAUUCAAUGAAGCAUUGGCCAAGAUUGCAAUGAACGCGCAACAAAGCGGAACAGGCGAUAUUGGUUCGGCUUUGAUGAGCGUUGUUAAUGUUAACAAGGAGAUACAGGAGCAACAGAUGAAUAUUCUGAAAGCCUUCUACGUUGAUCUAUUGGUGCCAUUGGAGACGAAUUUGGAGAAGGACACGAAAGUCGUGCAACAUGAGCAAAAGAAAUUUAUGCAGCAGCACAAAGUGCGCAUGGAGAGCUACCAGAAGGCCGUUUCCACAAUGAAAAAGCAGCGCAAGAAAAAGGCCACGCCCGAGAAUACCGAAAAGGAGCUGAGAAGCCUGCAACUGUUGGAGGAUCAAAAGAAAAAACUCGACAUAUUUUGUGAUCAGAGCUAUAAGAAUGCCAUGACACAGGAGCGUCGUCGCUAUGGCUUCGUCUUGGAGCGCCAGUGCUCGAUCGCCAAGCACUGGAUGGCCUACCAUGCCACCGGCAAAACAGUAAUUGAUAAUAAUUUCGAAAAUUGGCAAGAGAUUGCCGCUUCUCGUGAGAUAAUUCCGCCGGCCGCAUACGAAAGCGCCGGCUACAGCAGCAGCAACAGCAACACAAGACGCCUGGUGAGUCAUCAUGCGCCCAGCCCUAACAACCUCUCUCUCUUAACCACUCUCCGACUGUUCGUCUGUUUGUCUGUCCAGGAGCGCAUCAAAGACGCUGACGAUGAUCAGCUUCAGCUCCAGGGCCAAGGCCAGGGCCAGGGCCUGGGCGCCCAGCUAAAGAAGUCGCGCAGCAUCGAUGCGCCGUACGGCGACAUGCGCACUCUGCACGAGCGUGAGGGUGUCUCUGGAUCGGCGCACUAUGCUCAGAACUCGCUGCCACGUGCCAAAUCCGAUUUCAAUCUGGCGCUGGUCGGCGCAGGACCCAUCACAGGCAGCAAACACAAAAUCAUUGAGGAGCAGCUGAUGCAUGGCGAGCUCGAGCGCGGGGAUCAACGUCCGCUGGUCAAGGCGCUCUACGCGUACAUGCCGUCCGGCGAGAAUCAGCUGUCCUUUGAGGAGGGCGAUCGCAUAGCGCUUGUGGGCGCCAAGGCCAAGGGCUGGCAGUUCGGUGAGAAUCUGCGCACUCAGCACUUCGGCUGGUUCCCUGUGGCGUACACCAACGCGGAGAGCCUGGAGCUGCCGCCCUCCGCCGGUCGACGCUACGAGAACAUGCACAUGAGCUACGAGCGCAACGGCGCCAGCGGACUGCGCAGCUACCAUGAACAGCAGCAGCAGCAACAGCAGCAGCAGCAGCAGUAUGAGGCGCAACUGGAGCUCCUGGACAGCGAUGCCACCUAUCGGCGACGACGCAAUCACAGCGCCGAGGAGUCCUCGCCCACGCGCAUGUUUGGCGACACCAUCAAGCAGCAGAAGAAGUACCGCUCCGGCUCCGCGGCCAAUCCACGUCCCGGCCCGCCGCCCACGCUGCCCGCUCCCGUGCCCAAUGCUGGCCAGAGCCAGAGCGCCCGAAUGCUGAACAGCUCGCAAAGCUUCUGUGCCACCAAUGGGGUGCCAGCUGCCGUGGAGAGGCGCAAGCAGAAGCUGCUAAAUGGAGCACAGAGCUCGAUGAGUCAACCGUCCACAAAGUCCGCGGCGGCGGCAAAGACCUCGCUGCACAGCAGCAACGACAGCGGCUUCGCCAAUGAGCCGCCGCCUCAGCCCGAGGUGGACUACUCCGACGAGGAGCCAGCCACACAACGUGUGCCCAUACGCAGGCGCGGUAUUUAUCGCAACUAUUCCAUAGGCUACAGAAGCUAGACACUAAUUACAACCAACCCGUAGAAGUACACUUUAUAUUCCACACAAAAUUCCACUGUAUAAUUGAAUGCGUAUGUAAAAAGCUGUCAUACCCCUCCUUGUCCUUUAAAUUGUACAAAGUUGCUAAAACCAUGCGUAUCGCCUCGCAAUUUGCCACCAUCAAGUUGCGGCACACGAAGACCAAUGAUCGCUCGGCUCCGAUGAUCUACCGGAGCGUCAACAAGUAGCAACGACUGCGCAAGGUGGAGUUUUCGUUGUGACCGUGCGACAAGGCCUACUGAAAACUUCAGCUACACACACACACACACACACACACACACAAACACAAUCCUAAGCCUGAACACAAAAUUAAAACAUAAACCUUAUCUAUUAAAAAGAGCUAAUGAUUCUGCUCUGUCAUGCCCGACAAACUGGAACUCGAAGGACCAGCAGUUGACCAGUUCCAACUGCAGUUGGGCAAGGAUUCUUGGUAGUCAUUAAGUUGUAUUGUUUGUUAAAAAAUUAUGUAUGUAUGUUAAU
rnacentral:misc_RNA from 1 species